rfam:Ipomoea nil DNA, scaffold: scaffold3210, cultivar: Tokyo-kokei standard.
GAUGGUCUGGCCGAGUGCUCUAAGGCCCCAGAUUUAGGCUCUGGUCCGAAAGGGCGUGGGUUCAAAUCCCACAAUGUUUA